GUGAAUCAUCGAAUCUUUGAACGCACAUUGCGCUCCCUGGUAUUCCGGGGAGCAUGCCCGUUUCAGAAUCAUUAAAAUCUCACAAGCCCUGGUUUACGCUCGCGGAAACCGGGGGGAAGUGGAUGUGGGUGCACUUGCGAGCCUGGCUUGCGAUGCAUCUAUAAAUGAUUGUGACGUGCGCCAAUUGUCGUGUCAACUGGUCGUCCGAAGCGCAACAGAUUCAUCUAUUCGUUUUGGUCAUCAGCUGGCUGACUUGGAGGCAUGGGACUCAACUUGUCAACCGGGGCCCUGCAGUUUGCA
rnacentral:misc_RNA from 1 species